rnacentral:rRNA from 1 species
CGUCAAAUCAUCAUGCCCCUUAUACCCUGGGCCACACACGUGCUACAAUGGACCGUACAGAGGGCGGCGACCCGGCGACGGGAAGCGAAUCCCUUAAAGCGGACCCAAGUUCGGAUUGCAGGCUGCAACCCGCCUGCAUGAAGUCGGAAUCGCUAGUAAUCGCAGGUCAGCAUACUGCGGUGAAUACGUUCCCGGGCCUU